GAUGAACGCUGGCGGCGUGCUUAACACAUGCAAGUCGAACGGGAUCCAAGGGGUGCUUGCACUUUUUGGUGAGAGUGGCGAACGGGUGAGUAACACGUGAGUAACCUGUCCUUUUCUUUGGGAUAAGCAUUCGAAAGGGUGUUUAAUACCUUAUGUUCUGUCUGCCUCGCAUGGGGUGGGUGGGAAAGGCUUUGGCCGGAUUUGGGUGGGCUCGCGGUCUAUCAGCUUGUUGGUGGGGUGAUGGCUUACCAAGGCUUUGACGGGUAGCCGGCCUGAGAGGGGGGUCGGUCACAUUGGGACUGAGAGACGGCCCAGACUCCUGCGGGAGGCAGCAGUGGGGGAUAUUGCACAAUGGGCGAAAGCCUGAUGCAGCGACGCCGCGUGGGGGAUGAAGGCCUUCGGGGUGUAAACUUCUUUUGCUCUGAACAAGGCAUGCCAGUGGGUGUGUUGAGUGUAGGGGUUGAUUAGCGCCGGCUAACUACGUG
rnacentral:rRNA from 1 species